rnacentral:rRNA from 1 species
GACCCCAGGUCAGCGGGAUUACCGCUGA